rnacentral:tRNA from 1 species
UCCCUGGCCGUCCAGUGGUUAGGACCCUGCACUUCCAAUGUAGGGAUUGUGGGUUCAAUUCCUGGUUGGGGAA